rnacentral:piRNA from 1 species
UUCUCAUUUGACACGAUCUUCAGAAAAAUCA